GACGACGGGUAGCCGGCCUGAGAGGGCGACCGGCCACACUGGGACUGAGACACGGCCCAGACUCCUACGGGAGGCAGCAGUGGGGAAUAUUGCACAAUGGGCGAAAGCCUGAUGCAGCGACGCCGCGUGAGGGAUGACGGCCUUCGGGUUGUAAACCUCUUUCAGCAGGGAAGAAGCGAAAGUGACGGUACCUGCAGAAGAAGCGCCGGCUAACUACGUGCCAGCAGCCGCGGUAAUACGUAGGGCGCAAGCGUUGUCCGGAAUUAUUGGGCGUAAAGAGCUCGUAGGCGGCUUGUCACGUCGGUUGUGAAAGCCCGGGGCUUAACCCCGGGUCUGCAGUCGAUACGGGCAGGCUAGAGUUCGGUAGGGGAGAUCGGAAUUCCUGGUGUAGCGGUGAAAUGCGCAGAUAUCAGGAGGAACACCGGUGGCGAAGGCGGAUCUCUGGGCCGAUACUGACGCUGAGGAGCGAAAGCGUGGGGAGCGAACAGGAUUAGAUACCCUGGUAGUCCACGCCGUAAACGGUGGGCACUAGGUGUGGGCAACAUUCCACGUUGUCCGUGCCGCAGCUAACGCAUUAAU
rnacentral:rRNA from 1 species